GAUGAACGCUGGCGGCGUGCCUAAUACAUGCAAGUCGAGCGAACAGACGAGGAGCUUGCUCCUCUGACGUUAGCGGCGGACGGGUGAGUAACACGUGGAUAACCUACCUAUAAGACUGGGAUAACUUCGGGAAACCGGAGCUAAUACCGGAUAAUAUAUUGAACCGCAUGGUUCAAUAGUGAAAGACGGUUUUGCUGUCACUUAUAGAUGGAUCCGCGCCGCAUUAGCUAGUUGGUAAGGUAACGGCUUACCAAGGCAACGAUGCGUAGCCGACCUGAGAGGGUGAUCGGCAACACUGGAACUGAGACACGGUCCAGACUCCUACGGGAGGCAGCAGUAGGGAAUCUUCCGCAAUGGGCGAAAGCCUGACGGAGAAACGCCGCGUGAGUGAUGAAGGUCUUCGGAUCGUAAAACUCUGUUAUUAGGGAAGAACAAAUGUGUAAGUAACUAUGCACGUCUUGACGGUACCUAAUCAGAAAGCCACGGCUAACUACGUG
rnacentral:rRNA from 1 species